rnacentral:rRNA from 2 species
AAACGUUUGACACCAGUCAUGUGGGUGGAAAAUCAGUCUUUUGCAUUGGGGAGUUGUAAGGGUUCGGACCGCAAGGCCGGCUUUUGCUUCAUCUUUGGUGUAAGUGAUGCACUUUUUCAUUUACAGGUCAACAUCAGUUUCUUUUGCUGGACAAAACUCCGAGAGAAGGUAGCAGCUUAGGCUGUGUUAUAGCUCUGGAGCGAUACAGUGAAGGGGACUGAGGUUUUCGCAGCGUGUGCUCUCGGGCAAGGCUGGAUGGGUGCUAUGGGAUCGUUCGGGGUACAAUGCCUGGCAUUUUGCUUCGUGUCUUUUCUAUACUCGCUCAACUCAGCUCUUCCACGCUUAGGAUGUUGACUUAAUGGCUUUAAACGA